rnacentral:lncRNA from 1 species
AUAGUCUAUCUAUCUAUUUUUUUUUUAGCUCGGAUUUGAAAACAUAAGAAAAAAAAGCCUCAUUUACUGCUGUUCCAAAUUUUAUGAGCCAGAAAAAAUUGCACACAACAUAGAAAACCAAAACAUUUAAAAACAAAUAUAUCAACACAAAGAUAUUCCUGCCUAUUUUAAAAACCUGGUUCUCCCUCCAUGGAACAGUAGAAUUUACCAUUUUUAUUUUUUAAUCAUUUCUUUUUCCCAAAUUCACGAAUGGACACACGUACUAUAUACGAUGAAAUACACGCACAUACACAUACACAUACACAUAUAUACGAUUCAACACUUAUACAUAAAUACUAUGCGUACAAACAAUAUACUUAUAUGUGUAUGCAUACAUACAUAUGUAUAUAUAUAUAUAUAUAUACUUGGGAAAAAGUAUGAUAGACUUAAGAUGCAGUUUAUAUAGUUUGUGAAUAUUUGCAUCCUCUGUAGUGUGUACAUGAAUAAAAAAUAUGUACGCACAUUCGCAUAUACAUACACUCACACACAUAGACACACACACGCAGAGACUCUAUAGGCACAUAUGUAGCUACUAUCACAGAAAAAUAGAAGUACAGCUAUUCAUAUGCGUUCGCAACCCAUUUAACCACAUAUUCCAAUAGAUUUCUUUUUUUUUUUCUUUUUGCAAUUAA